rnacentral:rRNA from 1 species
AGCAGUCGCCGCGGUAAUACAGAGGGUGCGAGCGUUAAUCGGAUUUACUGGGCGUAAAGCGUGCGUAGGCGGCUUCUUAAGUCGGAUGUGAAAUCCCUGAGCUUAACUUAGGAAUUGCAUUCGAUACUGGGAAGCUAGAGUAUGGGAGAGGAUGGUAGAAUUCCAGGUGUAGCGGUGAAAUGCGUAGAGAUCUGGAGGAAUACCGAUGGCGAAGGCAGCCAUCUGGCCUAAUACUGACGCUGAGGUACGAAAGCAUGGGGAGCAAACAGGAUUAGAUACCCGCGUAGUCCCUGUCUCUUAUAA